rnacentral:lncRNA from 1 species
AUUUCUAAAUAACCAUGAUUCUCAAACUGUAGUGUGCAUAAGGACCACCAGGAAAGUAUGUUAAAGUGUAUAAAGAGUUAUUCCCAGGAUCUGGUUCUUUCUCCUCCUCCAGGAUAGCACUCUGUGGAAGUUGCUCACAACAGCUGCUGCCUGUUUUCAAAGAUCACAGAGGAGCAAGGUUUCCACAUCCUCCCAUGCAAAGCCAUUUGUGUUUAAUUGCCGUUCAGUUAAGAAGUUCUUCCUUAAGCAUUUCAUCAAUUCUCUCAUUGCAAGACUCAUCAACUCUUGCUCUAUUCUCUGUGGAGAUUGAAAAACAAGAAGUUAGUGUGUAAUUUCUAACCCUUCAUUGAAUCACAUAGUGUAAAAGCCAAAUGAGACUGCAUACAUUAUCUGGCACUACUCCUAUAUUCUACCUAUAUGGAUGCUUGCCCAAAGAUAUGCAUGUAUUCAGUGGGUUUUAGUUUCCAGUGCCUGCAAGACAUCUGAGGGAAGCCGUCUGAGACACAGUUGGCUAAGCUAAUCUUCCUCUGGUACUGUCCAUAGAAUUUAAAAAUUCAACGUGGUUUUAAUUUGGGGGUGGAAAUGGGUGCAUCCUCCCUUCUCUGUUCUGGAAUAUACAUAUGAACUCCUUCACCAUUCCUCCAAAGGGGAUGUGUUUUCUAUUCCUGUAAUCAUUUUACUUUAUCAAAUGAAAUUACAAGAUACCUAGUUAAAUUUGAAUUUCAGAUGAAGAACUAAUAAUUUUUGCAGUAUUUGAAACAUACUUUUACUGAAACAAAAAGUUACGUAUCUGAAAUUCAGAAUUAACAGGGGGUCUAUAAUUAAUCUGGCAAUCCUCGUUCCAGAUAUUCUUGAAGUUUUUCAAUUAAAACACGACACAGAACUCUUCACAUCUUUGGCAAUUCUUCAUACUCACUAAGGAUACUCCCACCUCAUGGUCUUUGUACUUGAAGUUCCCUCUGCUAGAAUGUUCUUCCCCAGAAUACCUGCAUGGCUGGAUCCCUCACUUUGGGUCAGUACUCAUAUUUUUACUUAGUAAAGAUGUGUUCCUUGGCCAUCUUAUAGAAGCCCCGCUAUUACUUUUCAACUUCUUAUACUGAUUUAUUUUUUUCUCAACACUUAUUUCUACCUGGCAAAGUAUAUCUUUAUUUGUAUAGUUUGUAUAUCUUCUGUUGAAGUAGAAUAAAAACUGCAUGACACAGGCACUUGGCUUUACUCAUUGCUGUGUUUGUAUUGUAUAUAUUGUAUGCCUAUAUAUUGUAGGCAUACAAUAGGGCCAUGUAUUAGUUAUCUAAGGCUGCAUUAAAAAGUACCCCAAAAUGUAGGGCUUAAACACUAGUCAUUUAUUAUCUCUUACUGUUUCUGUGAUCAGGAAUGCAGGAGUUGCUUGGCUAGGUAGUUCUGGCCAAGGGUCUCUCAUGUGGUUUCAGUUGGAUAUUGGCUAGGGUUACACACAUCUGAAGACUUGUUUGGGGCCAGAGGAUCCACUUCAAGGUUGCUCAUUCACACGGCUGGAAGAUGAUGCAUUUCUUUUUUUUUCCAUGUCAGUCUUUUCACAGGGCUGCCAUGAUGCUUGUGUGAUGUAGCUGUCAAAGUCACAGAGAGUUGGGAGGAUUGCUUGAGGCCAGUAGUUCAAGACCAGCCUAGGCAACAAAGGGAGACCCCAUCUCUACAAAUACACACACACACACACACACACACACACACACAGAGACAGAGAAACAAAGUCAAGCAUUGUUACUUCCUUCAUAUUGUACUGAUCACAUAUGCCAGCACUGAUUUAAUGUGGAAAGGGACCUGUAUUAAUUUUCUAUUGCUGCAUAACAAAUUACCACAAAGUUAGCAGCUGAAAACCAUACAAGUCUGUUAUCUUACUGUUCUAUAAGUGAGAAGUCUGGGCAGAACUUACUAGGUUCUUUGUUUAUGGUCUCACAAGCCUGAAAAUAGAAAUACUCAUCAACAGAAAACAAGUACUAAAAAUAUAGACCUAAAUCUAAAUAUAUUAAUAAUUACAUGAAUGUACAUGGUCUAAAUACACAUUAAAAAAGAGAUUAUCAGAAUGAUUUUUUUAAAGUUCCAACUAUAAUAUCUUCAAAAAACUUAUUUUAAAUAUGAUGAUAUAGGUAAGUUUAAAGUAAAGGAUGGAGAAAUAUAUACCAGGCACACGUUUAUUUUUUUAAAGCUGAGUGGCUAUAUUAAUAACAAAGUAGACUUCAGAGCAAAGAAAAUGACCAGGUAUAAAGAAGGACAUUCUACAGUGAUGCAAUGGUCAUUUCACCAAGAAGACAGAACAGUCUUAAAUGUGUGUGUGCCUAACAACAGAGCUUCAAACGUGAAGAAAAACUAAUAUAACUGAAAGGAGAAACACAUGAAUUACAGUUAGAGUUGGAGAUUUCAUACUCCUUGCUCAGUAAUGAAUAGAAUUAGUACAUAGAAAAUCUGCAAGAUUAUAAGAACUGAACAUCGUCAGCCAACUCUAAGUGAAAAUUUUGGAAUAUUCCACCCAACAACAGUAGAAUUCUUUUCGAGUACACAUAGAACAUUUACCAAGAUGGACCAUAUUCCAUGUCACAAAAUAAACUUUAACAAAUUUGAAAGCAUGGAAUUAUACAAUGUAUGUUCUCUGACUGUAAUGGAAUUAAACCAGAAAUCAUCAGCUGCAAGAGAAACCAGAAAGAUAUCCGAAC